rnacentral:rRNA from 1 species
GACGAACGCUGGCGGCGUGCUUAACACAUGCAAGUCGAACGAAGAGCGAUGGAAGCUUGCUUCUAUCACUCUUCGUGGCGAACGGGUGAGUAACGCGCAAUCAACCUGCCCUUCAGAGGGGGGCAAACGUUGGAAACGACUGCUUAUACCGCAUACGAUCUUACCUCGGCAUCGAGGAUAGCUGCAAGGUGGCCUCUACAUGUAAGCUCUCUCUGCAGGAGGGGAGUGCGGCGGGUUAGCUAGUUGGAGGGGUAACGGCCCACCAAGGCGAUGAGUAGUAGCCGGUCUGAAAGGAGGAACGGCCACAUUGGGACUGAGACACGGCCCAGACUCCUACGGGAGGCAGCAGGGGGGAAUCUUCCGAAAUAGACAGAAGGCUGGCGGAGCAACGCCGCGGGGGUGAUGACGGCCUUCGGGUUGUAAAGCUCUGUUAGUCGGGACGAAAGACCUGCUUGCGAAUAGUUAGAAGGAUUGACGGUACCGGAAUAGAAAGCCACGGCUAACUACGUG